UGGGGAAUAUUGCACAAUGGGCGCAAGCCUGAUGCAGCCAUGCCGCGUGUGUGAAGAAGGCCUUCGGGUUGUAAAGCACUUUCAGCGAGGAGGAAGGGUUCAGUGUUAAUAGCACUGUUCAUUGACGUUACUCGCAGAAGAAGCACCGGCUAACUCCGUGCCAGCAGCCGCGGUAAUACGGAGGGUGCAAGCGUUAAUCGGAAUUACUGGGCGUAAAGCGCACGCAGGCGGUUUGUUAAGUCAGAUGUGAAAUCCCCGCGCUUAACGUGGAACUGCAUUUG
rnacentral:rRNA from 1 species